rnacentral:lncRNA from 1 species
GUUGAAUUGAAAGAAACACAGUCUAGCCACCAAAAAAGUUGAGUACCAGUAGAAACCUCAUAUUUACCUGGAAGAUUACUUUUAGGAAGCUUGAAGAAUUCUCUCUUCCAACUUGGUUGGAUGGAUCUCACUAUGUUGCCAAGGCUGGCUCGAGAACUCCUGGGCUCAACCAAUCCUCCUGCCUCAGCCUCCCAAAUAGCUGGGACUACAGUUGUAUAGGUUUUGCUGACCUGAAUUCUUUCAUGUUCUUCUUCAUCCUACAUGUGUAACUAUUCCAUGUUAUCGGUCCCCACGAUGAAAGAUAAUGGAAAAACAAUGCCUGUCUUUGUCUGACUCAAAAAGCAUGCUGAAUGGACUUUUCAUCCAUGUGGCUGUGAUCAGUUCCUAAAGCAGAGGAAUCUGCAGCCUAAUGACACAUCAGGAAUUGAUGGAACCCCAGCAGACAGCUUCUAUGAGGUGUGUGGGUGGCGGAUGUGAAAUCAAUAAAAAAAAAAAAAAGAAUAAUUUUUUUUGUUGUUUUUGUUCACUGUCAUGUACAUUAAAGCAUGUAGGCCUCUUCCAGUGUAUAUGUGUAACUUUCACAGUAAAACCUGGAUGAAAAAUCAAUAGAAAUUUAGAAUCUUUCUUCAUAGGAACUGUAUGAUUACUUUGGCAGGAGGAAAAAUAAACAUGUGAAAACAACCUCAAGUCAAUAAAAUGUAUGAUCAGUAACAUAUGAUGAGUAUAUAAGUUAUAGCAUGGGUAAUGUUGAUUCUAGCUAAUUACCUUUGAAAUUGAGGCAGGGCAAAACCAAUUAUGAGCUAGAGUUCAUAAGUAACUCCAAGAACUCCAAGUUGAAAAUCUCAAGGAGAGAGGAUUGCACAUUGGUAGUCCUGUGGAAUAGAGAAGAGAGAAGUCAUUCCAGGCAGAGGAAUGACAGGCAGAGGGGAAUUUUGGGUAACUAGACUGGGCUCAUUCUAAGUGAGCAGCACAUGCAGUUACAAAGACAUCAACACUCUUGUGUCUCCUGCUGCAGAGGUCUUGAUGCUGUGAAUGAUGACUAAUAUAUCUUUGGGUCUCCGAAGUGACUGAUUUAAUUCUAUCAUUUUUGGAGGCAAGGCUUUAUUAUAAGCUACACGAAUAACUUCAAAAAAGGAUUAAAUUAACUGUGCAUUAUUUACUGCAAGUGCAUUUCUCUGGUAUAAAUCUGUCUUAUUUAUGCAUUAGGAUGAGAAAACAGUUUAUUGCCAUUAUAUAUUGUUUAGGGCUGAAGGUUACAAUCUGUCACAAUAUCUCUUCAAAUCCAAAUUCUGGCUAAUUAAUUCUUUUUAUGAUAAAUUUUAUUUU